GUUCCCGUGUGGCUCAGUUGGUAGAGCAUGGCACUUGCAAUGCCAGGGUUGUGGGUUUGAUUCCCAUAGGGGACC